UACAGAGGGUGCGAGCGUUGUCCGGAAUCACUGGGCGUAAAGGGCGCGUAGGCGGUGCCAGCAGUCGAUGGUGAAAGCUCGGGGCUCAACUCCGAGUCGGCCGUCGAUACUCUGGGACUGGAGCACGGUAGAGGCGAAUGGAAUUCCGGGUGUAGCGGUGGAAUGCGUAGAGAUCCGGAAGAACACCGGUGGCGAAGGCGGUCUGCUGGGCAGUUGCUGACACUGAGGCGCGACAGCGUGGGGAGCAAACAGGAUUGA
rnacentral:rRNA from 1 species